rnacentral:lncRNA from 1 species
AAACAAAUGUCAAAAAAAUAAAGAAGAAUAGAGCCCAUCUCUUUCUCUUAGUAUAAGAUAUUGUACGGUUUUAAACAAAUCUCAACAUUUAAAUUCCGGAGAAAUAUUCUACCAAAAAACCCCUUUUUAUCCAGGAGAAUUCUUGUAAAAUGUAAGAAACAAUGAAAUAAAAUAUUCAUACUAUUUCAAGAACGAUCACUUUCUUUUCAAUAACAAAUAGAAGUUAACUAAAGAAUCAGCAUGAUUACUUGAUAAAGAAACUUAAUAAAAAAAGAAAAAGAGAAAAAAAUUAUUGAGUCAAGAAAGCAACCACUUGUUGUUAAAGAAAUUAUAAAAGAAAUACAUUACCAUGAAAGAAAAUGAAAAGCAUAUGAGUUCAACAAAAAAAUUAAUACCACCCAAAUCGGACAAAUUUCUCUCUCUACUGAUAAAAUAACAUUUAUAAAUGAGAACCCAAAUCUACCUUCACUCUUUAAUGCUUUCUCUCAUUCCCUUUCUCUUUAAUAUUUCUCUCAAAUAUUUGAUUUUGAACACCACAACCAGAUUCAGUCUCUCUUCAGUAUUUUUCUCUUUACUGCCAUAUAACAUUCACAAAUCUAAUCCCACCUCAACAUUCUCUUCCCUCUUCUUACGAUCAACCCAAAUCUCUCUUUCUCUCUCUAGACUGAAGCAUAUCAACAAAUUAAAACCCACUUUCUCUCUAACAUCUCCCUCACUAUUAGAUGGAAGGCUAAUAAUGGAUCAAAUAUGCAAUCAGUCGUUACAAUCGAAGAUCCAACUCAAGAAAUGAAUCAAAACCUGCUUCCUAGAUCACCAUGCAUGAAAUAACCCUCACAAAAACAAAUUUAACUUAGAACAAGUACAAUCACUUUCACCCAUUAACAAACAGAAGACAACUAAAGAAUCAGACUGUCUAGUUGAUGCAUAAACUUAGCAACAAACAAAAAAAAGGGAAAAAAAUACAAGAAAAUCAAAAUGAGUGAAUGUACCUUCAAGUAAUGGAUAGCUAGAGAGAAAGGCUCUCCUGGUAAGAAAAUUGGGAAUUCAAAUCUUGGUUUUAGAGGGAGAGAGAGGAAUAAUCAAAUCAAUUGGGUAAGGUUUGAUGCCCAUGUAUUUAUUUAUAUAUAACGUUCGGUAGUUCUAUGAGGACUAGGAAUCAUUGAUGAAAGAUAAAAUCCGGAUAGGUCAUUGGAAGAUAACCACUUUCUUGGAAUACGUAAAUAUAGAAGAAGCAUACUCGUAUAUUAUCACAUAACCCACCACUAUAGAAUAAUUUGCACGAAAACGGGUUAACUAAAUGAAUAAGUAAUAUUCAUAUUACGCGCAAGUAUGAAUAUAAAUUUCACGGCAAUAUAUUAUCUUUCAUAUCAACUCAACAAAGUUUUAGCAAAUUGAAAGUUCUAGAGAGAGAAAAGGAGAAGAAAGGUGAAGCACCUGGAGAGAGAAAAGGAAGAGAGUUGUGAGUGAGAAGAGUGCUACGAGGAAAGCAAUGGAGAUAUAGAGAGAGAAAGGCUGUGUGUUAAUACGGGCAACAAAAUUCAGAGAUGGUAAAAUCCUAAAAUGUGGUUUUAGAGAGAGAGAG